rnacentral:rRNA from 1 species
ACGAACGCUGGCGGCGUGCUUAACACAUGCAAGUCGAACGGAAAGGCCCUGCUUUUGUGGGGUGCUCGAGUGGCGAACGGGUGAGUAACACGUGAGUAACCUGCCCUUGACUUUGGGAUAACUUCAGGAAACUGGGGCUAAUACCGGAUAGGAGCUCCUGCUGCAUGGUGGGGGUUGGAAAGUUUCGGCAGUUGGGGAUGGACUCGCGGCUUAUCAGCUUGUUGGUGGGGUAGUGGCUUACCAAGGCUUUGACGGGUAGCCGGCCUGAGAGGGUGACCGGCCACAUUGGGACUGAGAUACGGCCCAGACUCCUACGGGAGGCAGCAGUGGGGAAUAUUGCACAAUGGGCGGAAGCCUGAUGCAGCAACGCCGCGUGCGGGAUGACGGCCUUCGGGUUGUAAACCGCUUUCGCCUGUGACGAAGCGUGAGUGACGGUAAUGGGUAAAGAAGCACCGGCUAACUACGUGC